rnacentral:rRNA from 1 species
GUGUAGCAGUGAAAUGCGUAGAUAUGCGGAGGAACACCGAUGGCGAAGGCAGCCUCCUGGGAUAACACUGACGCUCAUGCACGAAAGUGUGGGGAGCAAACAGGAUUAGAUACCCUGGUAGUCCACGCCCUAAACGAUGUCAACUAGCUGUUGGGGCCUUCGGGCCUUGGUAGCGCAGCUAACGCGUGAAGUUGACCGCCUGGGGAGUACGGUCGCAAGAUUAAAACUCAAAGGAAUUGACGGGGACCCGCACAAGCGGUGGAUGAUGUGGAUUAAUUCGAUGCAACGCGAAAAACCUUACCUACCCUUGACAUGUCUGGAAUCCCGAAGAGAUUUGGGAGUGCUCGCAAGAGAACCGGAACACAGGUGCUGCAUGGCUGUCGUCAGCUCGUGUCGUGAGAUGUUGGGUUAAGUCCCGCAACGAGCGCAACCCUUGUCAUUAGUUGCUACGAAAGGGCACUCUAAUGAGACUGCCGGUGACAAACCGGAGGAAGGUGGGAUGACGUCAAGUCCUCAUGGCCCUUAUGGGUAGGCUUCACACGUCAUACAAUGGUCGGGACAGAGGGUUGCCAACCCGCGAGGGGGAGCCAAUCCCAGAAACCCGGUCGUAGUCCGGAUCGCAGUCUGCAACUCGACUGCGUGAAGUCGGAAUCGCUAGUAAUCGCGGAUCAGCAUGUCGCGGUGAAUACGUUCCCGGGUCUUGUACACACCGCCCGUCACACCAUGGAGUGGGUUUUACCAGAAGUAGUUAGCCUAACCGCAAGGGGGCGAUUACCACGGUAGGAUUCAUGACUGGGGUGAAGUCGUAACAAGGUAGCCGUAUCGGAAGGUGCGGCUG